CGAAUACUUUUUAUUAAAGUUCCUUGAAAAAAAAACAGCAGGAAUCGAGAUCGAGAGAGAAACAUGGCGAGGAAUAGUGUCAGUGGCCUUUGGAUGCGACAGACUUUGCUUGGAAGUGGAAACGGCAUAGGCAAUGGCUCCUUCCAAACCCAAGGUCUCGGUCGUCUUGACAAUCCCAAGUUUUUUCCAAAUUGUAUCCAAACCCUAAAAGCCCUAAAUUGGAUCUCAACCGCACCGCCUCUAUCCCCCUCGAUUCAUAUUAUUUCCACUCCCAAAUCACCCGUCUUUCUCGAUUCCCUGCAUUUUCUGCAACACCGACGACGGCUGUCCUCAGCCCCGGCCCCGGCCCAGGCCCAGUUCCAGUCCCCGUCCCCGUUUCCAGCUCCCCGAGAAAUUAAAUUUCCAAGUCCCGCGGCCAUGGUCAUCUUGCGGGAAGAGGACGAAUAUCGGAGAGCAAUUCGAAAAGUUAAAGAUGAACAACUGCCAGCAGUUUUCUACUUUGUUAGGCACGAUGCUCAAAGUUGCUUUCUUUUUGGAUCUCCAACCACUCGAAAGAUGAGGGAACAAUUCCCACAUGUAACAGUGUAUAAGUUUGUGUCUGAUAUACAGAACUGGCACCCACUGGCAGGACUGAUGGGUGUUAGCUCUCUGCCAACAUUCCAUUUCUAUCAAAAUGGGAAAAAGGUGGAUGAGAUUUUUCCCAGUCCCUAUCUAAAUAGGCGGUCAGAUGAAUCUGAGAUUCCCAGCCUCGUGCUAGAUACUUGUGAAAAACUCUACAGGUACGUCAUCCAGGUUGAAAAACCUCACCCUAUGGGCUCAUCUGGGAAAGGGAAGGGCAAAAGGAAGAGUACUUAUCAACAACUUGUCGUGCAAGCUAAGACUGAUGCAAACGAAAAUGACAAAGUAGUUGCUUUAGGAGGGGGGAGAGCGGGUGAUGCAUCGACAUCAUCAGAACAGAGAUGGCCGUGUUGAAGCAGUAUAUAGUAGUGGCAGUGCACCUUCACUUGAUAAAGCGAUGAGGGCUGUAUCAGCUAACCCCUAUUGUUAUGAACAUAGCGAUCUGUGGUGGUAUGCAAAAGGGUUAUUGAAAGCUAACCCUCAGAAGAGAGCAACGCUACUGAAGGUGGGGACACGUGAGGUUAGUUGGCUACGAAGUCACAUGUCCGAGGAUUAAGUUGGCCUUGGAUUGGACCGGAUAGGAUGCGCUUAAAAUUUGAUACUCAUUAUAUCUAAAUAGGCCGUCAGAUGAAUCUGAGAUUCCCAACCUCGUGCUAGAUACUUUUGAAAAACUCUACAGGCACGUCAUCCACCCUAUGGGCUCAUCUGGGAAAGGGAAGGGAAAAAGGAAGAGCACUUAUCAGCAACUUGUCGUGCAAGCUAAUACUGAUGCAAACGAAAAUGACAAAGUAGUUGCUUUAGGAGGGGGGAGAGUGGGUGAUGCAUCGACAUCAUCAGAACAGAGUGAUGGCCCUGUUGAAGCAGUAUAUAGUAGUGGCAGUGCACCUUCCCUUGAUGAAGCGAUGAGGGCUGUAUCAGCUAACCCCUAUUGUUAUGAACAUGGCGAUCUGUGGUGGUAUGCAAAAGGGGUAUUAAAAGCUAACCCUGGGAAGAGAGCAACGCUACUGAAGGUGGGGACACGUAAGGUUAGUUGGCUACGAAGUCAAAUGUCUGAGGAUUAAGUUGGCCUUGGAUUGGACCGGAU